rnacentral:rRNA from 1 species
UACGUAGGGUGCGAGCGUUGUCCGGAAUUACUGGGCGUAAAGAGCUCGUAGGUGGUUUGUCGCGUUGUUCGUGAAAACUCACAACUCAAUUGUGGGCGUGCCGGGCGAUACGGGCAGACUGGAGUACUGCAGGGGAGACUGGAAUUCCUGGUGUAGCGGUGGAAUGCGCAGAUAUCAGGAGGAACACCGGUGGCGAAGGCGGGUCUCUGGGCAGUAACUGACGCUGAGGAGCGAAAGCGUGGGAGCG